rnacentral:lncRNA from 1 species
AAACAGUCGCUGUUUGCAACAGAGACAGUCAUAGUUUUGUUUGGCUUGAUUUAUAGUGGCACGUGGGCCCACGAACGACUAAAAGUAUCAAAAGCGGUAAACCUAGAGUUUUUGAGGAUGCAAAACCAACUGUAGCCCUCAACAAAGUGAGCUAUCUACCGACUAUCUUGAGCCUAAAAUGGGUAGAAAUGAGGGUGGUGAGAUUAUAUAAUCCUAGUGAGUAAACAAAUACCAUCUAAAAUAUCUAAAGUUGAGUAAAUGGAGACAGAUUAAAAUAGAUCAUCAUACUAUAAUUUAUCACCUUUCAACUCAUUUCAACCAAAUAAAAUCAAUUCAUAUAAAUCGAGUAAUCAACAUGGAUUAUGAAUUUCUUAAAACUCUGGCUCGUGGCAAAAUCAUUCUCAUACUCAGUUAUCAGGGAUACCUUGGUCGAGGGCUAUCCCAACCGAGUCCGCCAAGGCUAUUAAAAAGUUAUGUAUGCAUAAAUCAUGUUUUUAUUUUAAAAACAUAGCUGUUCCUUAGCAUUGGCUGAGUUCACCCUCACGUGGUGGUUUAGCAUGAAGUGAACUCUAAAGUGCUAACCUCAGGAGUUAUCCAUUCGCGCCUCUCAUACUGAGGUAUGAAUAUAAUAGGGUUAUCGGGCCCCCUCUAAUAGGCUGAUCCACGGAACCCAUCCACUGAAACGACUAAUCAAUAACCCACAAAUUCAAUAAAAUUUAACAGCAUGACAUGGCAAUUUUAUCAUUAUUCAGCCUAUCAAGGCAGACAGCAGUUUAUACAUUUUCAACACAAAUACUAAUUUAGCCAUUCAUGCCAAUAUUGCCAUAAGCCAAUCAAUUAGAACCAUAAAUUCACAAUACAUCAAAUGGUCUCCAAUUACUCUAUUUUCAAAGCCAUCAUUCAAUUUCAAGAUAAUUUAUAAAAUCAUUUCAUUUAAACACAUUUUGUUUAUAAAACAUAAAGAUUUACUAUUUAAACUCAUUUUCCAUAAAAUCACAAAAUCAGAUAAAAACCACUUUAGAUAAUUAAGAUGAUAGUAAGGUUACUGACUAUUUCGAGAGUCGAAUUUCGAGUACUUCGAUUCUUGAUCCUCGGGUACUAUCUCUUUACUUUUGCCAGAAUGCUCACCACCUAGACAUAAUGCACAAUAAGCCAUUUACUACAUUGUGCUAAAUUGUUAUAAAACCAAUUCAGGCUUUAUACUAAUGUAUGAAAUGGGAUACAAAUUGUUUGGAUUAUUGUCUAAACACGGUGUUCUACACAAAUUCAAUUGUAUACCUAAAUUAAAUAGUAUUGGCCUAAUUCGAUCUAUCACUCGAUUAAUUGGCCAAUACGUCCAAUUCAACUCCAAAUAAUUUCAUUUUUCUCCCGAUACUCCAAAUCAUCAAACACAAAUUAAAUAACUUGAAAUAUGGCAAAAUCAUCUUCACAUUUGCUCUUGGAUAAUUCAGCCAUGCUGGGUGCAUCAACACUAUAAUUUUUCCUACUUGAUUCUCACACCAUAAAUCAUUAAUUCCUAACCAAAUCACUUGAAAAAAAAAUCAAAAUCAUCAUCAAUAUUCUACAUGGAGAAUUCGGCCAAUGAUGGGUGAUGGGAGAACAUGAAUUUUUCUUGCUUGAUUUUCAUGCUACACAUCACCAAUCAACUAAAAACACUAAAAUACAUUGAAAUCUAACCAAAUUAAGCAUUAAAACCUUUCUCCUAGGGUUUGAUCAGCACACUAUCCUUCAUGAUAUAUUGUGAUUCAACCAUGGAAAAUGCAAAACAAUGCAUGGGAAAGGUAGAUCACAAGUCAAAAUCAAGAAAUUUUACCUUAGAUUGCUUGAUUACUUGAAAUCCACCAAUUUUCUCUUGAAUUUUCACCCUAGGGUUCUUGUUCUUCCUUUUUCUUCCUUUGUUCUUACUUUGGC